UACAGAGGUCUCAAGCGUUGUUCGGAUUCAUUGGGGCGUAAAGGGUGUGUAGGUGGCGCGCUAAGUCGGGUGUGAAAUUUCGGAGCUUAACUCCGAAACUGCAUUCGAUACUGGCGUGCUUGAGGACUGGAGAGGAGACUGGAAUUCAUGGUGUAGCAGUGAAAUGCGUAGAGAUCAUGAGGAAGACCAGUGGCGAAGGCGGGUCUCUGGACAGUUCCUGACACUGAGACACGAAGGCCAGGGGAGCAAACGGG
rnacentral:rRNA from 1 species